rnacentral:tRNA from 1 species
GCAAUAAUAGGCAAUGGUCAACUGCACGAAAUGCCGAUAAAAUAUGGAUUAUAUCAAUCCCCAGCAAACGCGAGCUACCACGCACAACAUCGAUAUUUUGCCCUCCGAAGGCAGAGGUCACAGGUUCGAAUCCUGUCGGGUGCGCCA